rnacentral:rRNA from 1 species
CAGGACAGUGGCGGAUGGGUGAGUAACGCGUAAGAAACCUGCCUUUCACACCGGGAUAGCAGCUGGAAACGGCUAUUAAUACCGGAUGACACUUUUUCCCCGCAUGAGGAAGAGGUUAAAGAAUUUCGGUGAAAGAUGGUCUUGCGUCUGAUUAGCUAGUUGGUGGGGUAACGGCCUACCAAGGCGACGAUCAGUAGCCGGCCUGAGAGGGUGUACGGCCACAUUGGGACUGAGACACGGCCCAAACUCC